AGAGUUUGAUCAUGGCUCAGGACGAACGCUGGCGGCGUGCCUAAUACAUGCAAGUCGAGCGAGCGGAACUAACAGAUUUACUUCGGUAAUGACGUUAGGAAAGCGAGCGGCGGAUGGGUGAGUAACACGUGGGGAACCUGCCCCAUAGUCUGGGAUACCACUUGGAAACAGGUGCUAAUACCGGAUAAGAAAGCAGAUCGCAUGAUCAGCUUUUAAAAGGCGGCGUAAGCUGUCGCUAUGGGAUGGCCCCGCGGUGCAUUAGCUAGUUGGUAAGGUAAAGGCUUACCAAGGCGAUGAUGCAUAGCCGAGUUGAGAGACUGAUCGGCCACAUUGGGACUGAGACACGGCCCAAACUCCUACGGGAGGCAGCAGUAGGGAAUCUUCCACAAUGGACGCAAGUCUGAUGGAGCAACGCCGCGUGAGUGAAGAAGGUUUUCGGAUCGUAAAGCUCUGUUGUUGGUGAAGAAGGAUAGAGGUAGUAACUGGCCUUUAUUUGACGGUAAUCAACCAGAAAGUCACGGCUAACUACGUGCCAGCAGCCGCGGUAAUACGUAGGUGGCAAGCGUUGUCCGGAUUUAUUGGGCGUAAAGCGAGCGCAGGCGGAAGAAUAAGUCUGAUGUGAAAGCCCUCGGCUUAACCGAGGAACUGCAUCGGAAACUGUUUUUCUUGAGUGCAGAAGAGGAGAGUGGAACUCCAUGUGUAGCGGUGGAAUGCGUAGAUAUAUGGAAGAACACCAGUGGCGAAGGCGGCUCUCUGGUCUGCAACUGACGCUGAGGCUCGAAAGCAUGGGUAGCGAACAGGAUUAGAUACCCUGGUAGUCCAUGCCGUAAACGAUGAGUGCUAAGUGUUGGGAGGUUUCCGCCUCUCAGUGCUGCAGCUAACGCAUUAAGCACUCCGCCUGGGGAGUACGACCGCAAGGUUGGAACUCAAAGGAAUUGACGGGGGCCCGCACAAGCGGUGGAGCAUGUGGUUUAAUUCGAAGCAACGCGAAGAACCUUACCAGGUCUUGACAUCUAGUGCCAUUUGUAGAGAUACAAAGUUCCCUUCGGGGACGCUAAGACAGGUGGUGCAUGGCUGUCGUCAGCUCGUGUCGUGAGAUGUUGGGUUAAGUCCCGCAACGAGCGCAACCCUUGUUAUUAGUUGCCAGCAUUAAGUUGGGCACUCUAAUGAGACUGCCGGUGACAAACCGGAGGAAGGUGGGGAUGACGUCAAGUCAUCAUGCCCCUUAUGACCUGGGCUACACACGUGCUACAAUGGGCAGUACAACGAGAAGCGAGCCUGCGAAGGCAAGCGAAUCUCUGAAAGCUGUUCUCAGUUCGGACUGCAGUCUGCAACUCGACUGCACGAAGCUGGAAUCGCUAGUAAUCGCGGAUCAGCACGCCGCGGUGAAUACGUUCCCGGGCCUUGUACACACCGCCCGUCACACCAUGGGAGUCUGCAAUGCCCAAAGCCGGUGGCCUAACCUUCGGGAAGGAGCCGUCUAAGGCAGGGCAGAUGACUGGGGUGAAGUCGUAACAAGGUAGCCGUAGGAGAACCUGCGGCUGGAUCACCUCCUU
rnacentral:rRNA from 1 species